rnacentral:rRNA from 1 species
GGCGAACGGGUGAGUAACACGUGGGUGAUCUGCCCUGCACUCUGGGAUAAGCCUGGGAAACUGGGUCUAAUACCGGAUAGGACCACACACUUCAUGGUGAGUGGUGCAAAGCUUUUGCGGUGUGGGAUGAGCCCGCGGCCUAUCAGCUUGUUGGUGGGGUAAUGGCCCACCAAGGCGACGACGGGUAGCCGGCCUGAGAGGGUGACCGGCCACACUGGGACUGAGAUACGGCCCAGACUCCUACGGGAGGCAGCAGUGGGGAAUAUUGCACAAUGGGCGCAAGCCUGAUGCAGCGACGCCGCGUGAGGGAUGACGGCCUUCGGGUUGUAAACCUCUUUCAGUAGGGACGAAGCGAAAGUGACGGUACCUACAGAAGAAGGACCGGCCAACUACGUGCCAGCAGCCGCGGUAAUACGUAGGGUCCGAGCGUUGUCCGGAAUUACUGGGCGUAAAGAGCUCGUAGGUGGUUUGUCGCGUUGUUCGUGAAAACUCACAGCUUAACUGUGGGCGUGCGGGCGAUACGGGCAGACUAGAGUACUGCAGGGGAGACUGGAAUUCCUGGUGUAGCGGUGGAAUGCGCAGAUAUCAGGAGGAACACCGGUGGCGAAGGCGGGUCUCUGGGCAGUAACUGACGCUGAGGAGCGAAAGCGUGGGUAGCGAACAGGAUUAGAUACCCUGGUAGUCCACGCCGUAAACGGUGGGUACUAGGUGUGGGUUUCCUUCCUUGGGAUCCGUGCCGUAGCUAACGCAU